CAAAUUGACAACUGCAUUCAAUAUGGAGAAGAUGCGGACGUGAAGGUCAGAGAUUUUGAUCCAGAGGAUGAUGAUGAGUAGACUAAUGUUUGCUGGAAUUAGGUUACUGAGGACGCAGCCACUCCCUGAAAUUGAGCAAUCGAUGCAAUAUGUUUUCACUUUGUAGAUAAAUUAAAGGAAGAAUGACGAGUUCUGAGCAAAUUCGGCUUUUUGGCGAAUUUUGUGGCUUGCUUUUGGCCCCUCCAUUGUCAAUACAUCAUCUCUCCUUUUUUUAAUGUUUGGAAAAAAAAUGAUGUGCUUUGAACUUUAUUACCGUUCAGAUUCAUCUUCCAAUUGUUCAUGCUUUUUUAAUUCCCUCAAUUAAAACAUGGGCG
rnacentral:misc_RNA from 1 species